UACAGAGGGUGCAAGCGUUAAUCGGAAUUACUGGGCGUAAAGCGUGCGUAGUCGGUUAUUUAAGUCGGAUGUGAAAUCCCCGGGCUCAACCUGGGAAUUGCAUUCGAUACUGGAUAGCUAGAGUUCGGCAGAGGGAAGUGGAAUUUCGGGUGUAGCGGUGAAAUGCGUAGAUAUCCGAAGGAACAUCAGUGGCGAAAGCGACUUCCUGGACCAGAACUGACGAAUCAGGCACGAAAGCGUGGGGAGCAAACAGG
rnacentral:rRNA from 1 species